AAGUCACCCACUUAGUCUGCUUAUCUAAAUGUGCAAAUGCAGAGAUUUAGAUAUGGCUGGCAAAGAUUGUGCCAGGUUCUGAGCCUUAAGGACAAUCAAAGUCAUUAAGGUCCCUGAGAAUGGCUACAAUG